ensembl:lncRNA
CAAUGUUGUAAUAAUUUCUGCUAAACAAAGUGAUUCAGUUAUAUAGGUACACACAUGCAUUUUUCUUUCAGGUUCUUUUCCCACGUAAAUGAUCACAGAAUAUCGGUAGAAUUCUCUGUGCUCUACAGCAGGUCCCUGUUGGCAAGUCAUUCCUUACAUCUCAGUUGUGCAUAUGCCAGACCCCAAGUCCAUCCCUUCCACCCCCGACCUGUCCCCUUUGGUAACCGUAAGUUUGUUUUCAAAGAUUGUGAGUCUGUUUCUGUUCUGCAAAUAAGUUCACUUGUAUCCUUUUUUUAGAUUUCAGUAUAAGUGAUGUCAUAUGAUAUUUGGCUUUCACUUUCUGAUUUAGUAUGAUAAUCUCUAGGUCCAUCCAUCUAUGUUGCUGCAAAUAGCAUUAUUUCAUUCUUUUAUUUAUUUAUUUUUUGUCUUUUUAGGGCCACACCCCUAGCUCAUGGAAGUUCCCAGGCCAGGGGUCGAAUUGAAGCUGCAGCUGACGGCCUAUAUCACAGCCACAGCCACUCAGGAUCCAAACCGUGUCUGUGACCGACACCACAGCUCAUGGCAAUGCCGGAUCCUUAACCCACUGAGCGAGGCCGCAACCUCAUGGUUCCCAGUCGGAUUUGUUUCCACUGUGCCAUGACAGGAACUCCUCAGUAGUACUUUAUUUACAAAAACAGGUGACAGGCCAGAUUGAUGAAAUAACAGCCUAGAGCAGGGGUCGGUAAACCACUGAUUGUGGUUUGCCUAUUCCUGCUCUAUCGACAUUAUUAUUUUAUUGUAAUCAUAAUGUUUAUCGCCAUCUAAAAUAACCUUGUUUGUUUGUGUCUAACUUUGUCUCCUCAAAUCGAGAAACUGAGGCCCAUGCCGGCAGGAGCACGGCCUCCUUUGGUGUGACAGCCUCAGGCUUAGCUCCACACGCAUGGCACCAGCUCCAUGGCUGUUCAUUCGAGGAAUAGGCACUGUCAGUCGCAGGAGUCCCACGUUCAUUCAUUCAUUCAUUCCUUCUCCAUGCAUGCGUGUCUCACUCGCUUUGCUUCUCGCCUCACUUGGAGCCUUAGAAACAGAGCUCGCAGAGAUGUGGAAGCAGGUUAUGGUGCAAGGUGAAGUUCAACCAGGGGAGGGUCUAUCAAGUGGGGUUCAGAAGGAGCACGACCUAGGGGGGCAUCCACUCUUAGGAAGUCAGAGGUGGCUUCUUGGAGGGUGUGACAUCUGAGCUGAGUUUGAAGGAUGUCUUUAAGCAGAGCAGCAGGGCCUGGAAGGGCAUCCACACACACAGAACAGCCUGUGCAGGGACAUGGUGGCAGGAAGAAAAAGCAGCCCAGGUGGAUGGAGCAAGUGCCGUCCCUGUGUAGCCACAGGCUGAGUUACCAGCAGUCGGUGAAAGUUGGGCGCUCAGAGUUCCUGUUGUGGCUCAGCGGGUUACACACUGGGCUAGUAUCCAUGAUGAUGUGGGUUCGAUUCCUGGCCCUGCUCAGUGGGUUAAGGGUCCGGUGUUGCCAUGAGCUGCAGUGUAGGUCACAGACAAGGCUAGGAUCCCAAGUUGCUGUGGCUGUGGUGUGCAGGCUGGCAGCUGUAGCUCCCAUUCGACCCUUAGCCGGGGAACUUCUGUGUGCCAUAGGUGCAGCCCUAAAAAGCCAAAAAAAAAAAUGGAGUUCCCAUCGUGGUGCAUCGGAAAUGAAUCUGAUUGGGAUCCAUGAGGUUGUGGGUUUGAUCCCUGGCCUUGCUUAGCGGGUUAAGGAUCCGGCAAUGCCGUGAGCUGUGGUGUAGGUCACAGACAUGGCUCAGAUCCCGUGUUGCUUCGGCUGUGGUGAAGGCUGAUGGCUGCAGCUCCGAUUGGACCCCUAGCCUGGGAACCUCCAUAUGCCAAGGGUGAGGCCCUAAAAAAAAGAAGAAAAAAAAGAAAAAA